CCGCUGUGUCCGAGCCCUGUCCGAGAGAGAGGAUCUGACAGGACGGCGGAUCGAAGAUCUGGAUCCCCAUUUUGUCAACUCCAUGUUUCAAGGCCCACUGCUGACUCCCCAGACACUGCUGGUGCGCCUAUUGGUGGUGGCAGGCAGCCCUGUUACAGGCAGCAAACUCCAAGCCGCUGCCUUACUGCUGAUGCAAAACCUGCACAGCAGGUUCCACAGAGCUGUGGGGGCCAUGUGGGCUACUGAGAUCCCCCUGCUGCUGCAGUGUCUUGAAG